rnacentral:rRNA from 1 species
UACGAAGGGGGCUAGCGUUGUUCGGAAUUACUGGGCGUAAAGGGCGCGUAGGCGGUGCCUCAAGUCAGGCGUGAAAGCCCCGGGCUCAACCUGGGAACCGCGCUUGAGACUGGAGUACUAGAGUUCGGGAGAGGAUGGUGGAAUUCCCAGUGUAGAGGUGAAAUUCGUAGAUAUUGGGAAGAACACCGAUGGCGAAGGCAGCCAUCUGGACCGACACUAACGCUGAGGCGCGAAAGCUAGGGGAGCAAACGGG